rnacentral:lncRNA from 1 species
GCAUGCUCAAGGGUCUGCCCGUUCUUGGAGAUACCAGCUUCAAAUUCACCAACACCAGCAGUAACAAUCAGGUGUUUCACACCCAGGGUGUAAGCCAGAAGAGCAUGCUCGAGGGUCUGCCCGUUCUUGGAGAUACCAGGUUCAAAUUCACCAACACCAGCAGCAACAAUCAGGAUAGCACAGUCAGCCUGGGAUGUACCUGUAAUCAUGUUUUUGAUGAAGUCUCUGUGUCCUGGGGCAUCAAUGAUGGUCACAUAGUAUUUGCUGGUCUUGAAUUUCCACAGGGAGAUGUCAAUAGUGAUACCAUGCUCACGCUCAGCUUUCAGUUUGUAUAAGACCCAGGUGUACUUGAAGGAGCCCUUUCCCAU